rnacentral:ribozyme from 3 species
AUUCGACUAGACGAGUAUAAAUAGGUGUCAGGUCUAGUGCGGCAGGGUUCUUCCCUGCAUCAUA